AUUGAGCGCUGGCGGCAGGCCUAACACAUGCAAGUCGAGCGGAUGAAGGGAGCUUGCUCCUGGAUUCAGCGGCGGACGGGUGAGUGAUGCCUAGGAAUCUGCCUGGUAGUGGGGGAUAACGUCCGGAAACGGGCGCUAAUACCGCAUACGUCCCGAGGGAGAAAGUGGGGGAUCUUCGGACCUCACGCUAUCAGAUGAGCCUAGGUCGGAUUAGCUAGUUGGUGGGGUAAAGGCCUACCAAGGCGACGAUCCGUAACUGGUCUGAGAGGAUGAUCAGUCACACUGGAACUGAGACACGGUCCAGACUCCUACGGGAGGCAGCAGUGGGGAAUAUUGGACAAUGGGCGAAAGCCUGAUCCAGCCAUGCCGCGUGUGUGAAGAAGGUCUUCGGAUUGUAAAGCACUUUAAGUUGGGAGGAAGGGCAGUAAGUUAAUACCUUGCUGUUUUGACGUUACCAACAGAAUAAGCACCGGCUAACUUCGUG
rnacentral:rRNA from 1 species